rnacentral:rRNA from 1 species
GACGAAUGCUGGCGGCGUGCCUAAUACAUGCAAGUUGAGCGCUGAAGGUUGGUACUUGUACCAACUGGAUGAGCAGCGAACGGGUGAGUAACGCGUGGGGAAUCUGCCUUUGAGCGGGGGGCAACAUUUGGAAACGAAUGCUAAUACCGCAUAAAAACUUUAAACACAAGUUUUAAGUUUGAAAGAUGCAAUUGCAUCACUCAAAGAUGAUCCCGCGUUGUAUUAGCUAGUUGGUGAGGUAAAGGCUCACCAAGGCGAUGAUACAUAGCCGACCUGAGAGGGUGAUCGGCCACAUUGGGACUGAGACACGGCCCAAACUCCUACGGGAGGCAGCAGUAGGGAAUCUUCGGCAAUGGACGAAAGUCUGACCGAGCAACGCCGCGUGAGUGAAGAAGGUUUUCGGAUCGUAAAACUCUGUUGGUAGAGAAGAACGUUGGUGAGAGUGGAAAGCUCAUCAAGUGACGGUAACUACCCAGAAAGGGACGGCUAACUACGUG